rnacentral:rRNA from 1 species
GUAGCUUGCUACUUUUGCCGGCGAGUGGCGAACGGGUGAGUAAUGUAUCGGAACGUGCCCAGUAGCGGGGGAUAACUACGCGAAAGCGUGGCUAAUACCGCAUACGCCCUACGGGGGAAAGGGGGGGAUCUUAGGACCUCUCACUAUUGGAGCGGCCGAUAUCGGAUUAGCUAGUUGGUGGGGUAAAGGCCUACCAAGGCGACGAUCCGUAGCUGGUUUGAGAGGACGACCAGCCACACUGGGACUGAGACACGGCCCAGACUCCUACGGGAGGCAGCAGUGGGGAAUUUUGGACAAUGGGGGAAACCCUGAUCCAGCCAUCCCGCGUGUGCGAUGAAGGCCUUCGGGUUGUAAAGCACUUUUGUCAGGGAAGAAAAGGUUUCGGAUAAUACCCGGAACUGAUGACGGUACCUGAAGAAUAAGCACCGGCUAACUACGUGCCAGCAGCCGCGGUAAUACGUAGGGUGCAAGCGUUAAUCGGAAUUACUGGGCGUAAAGCGUGCGCAGGCGGUUCGGAAAGAAAGAUGUGAAAUCCCAGGGCUCAACCUUGGAACUGCAUUUUUAACUACCGAACUAGAGUAUGUCAGAGGGGGGUGGAAUUCCACGUGUAGCAGUGGAAAUGCGUAGAUAUGUGGAGGAACACCGAUGGCGAAGGCAGCCCCCUGGGAUAAUACUGACGCUCAUGCACGAAAGCGUGGGGAGCAAACAGGAUUAGAUACCCUGGUAGUCCACGCCCUAAACGAUGUCAACUAGCUGUUGGGCCCUUCGGGGCUUAGUAGCGCAGCUAACGCGUGAAGUUGACCGCCUGGGGAGUACGGUCGCAAGAUUAAAACUCAAAGGAAUUGACGGGGACCCGCACAAGCGGUGGAUGAUGUGGAUUAAUUCGAUGCAACGCGAAAAACCUUACCUACCCUUGACAUGUCUGGAAU